rnacentral:rRNA from 1 species
AACGAACGCUGGCGGCAGGCCUAACACAUGCAAGUCGAGCGCGCCUUCGGGUGAGCGGCGGACGGGUUAGUAACGCGUGGGAAUAUGCCCGGUACUAGGGAAUAGCCACUGGAAACGGUGAGUAAUACCUUAUACGCCCUUCGGGGGAAAGAUUUAUCGGUAUCGGAUUAGCCCGCGUUAGAUUAGGUAGUUGGUGGGGUAAUGGCCUACCAAGCCUACGAUCUAUAGCUGGUUUUAGAGGAUGAUCAGCAACACUGGGACUGAGACACGGCCCAGACUCCUACGGGAGGCAGCAGUGGGAUUUUCCGCAAUGGCGAAAGCCUGACGGAGCAAGACCGCGUGGGGGAGGAAGGUUUU